rnacentral:rRNA from 1 species
AUUGAACGCUGGCGGCAUGCUUUACACAUGCAAGUCGAACGGCAGCACGGACUUCGGUCUAGUGGCGAGUGGCGAACGGGUGAGUAAUACAUCGGAACGUGCCCAGUUGUGGGGAUAACUACUCGAAAGAGUAGCUAAUACCGCAUGAGAACUGAGGUUGAAAGCAGGGGAUCGUAAGACCUUGCGCAACUGGAGCGGCCGAUGGCAGAUUAGGUAGUUGGUGGGAUAAAAGCUUACCAAGCCGACGAUCUGUAGCUGGUCUGAGAGGACGACCAGCCACACUGGGACUGAGACACGGCCCAGACUCCUACGGGAGGCAGCAGUGGGGAAUUUUGGACAAUGGGCGAAAGCCUGAUCCAGCAAUGCCGCGUGCAGGAUGAAGGCCUUCGGGUUGUAAACUGCUUUUGUACGGAACGAAAAGCUUCGGGCUAAUACCCUGGAGUCAUGACGGUACCGUAAGAAUAAGCACCGGCUAACUACGUGCCAGCCGCCGCCGUAAGAC